rnacentral:lncRNA from 1 species
GUUGCAUCUUCACCGAUCAUAUCGAAUGCAGGGGGAUCCAGAAUAUAGAAGACUUUCUCUUGUAUAAGAAUAAUUUUUAGAUUUCUCAAUCAGUCUACAUAAUUGGGUAUGGUCAACUUAUUGGCAUCAAGUAUGCCACGCAGUGAAAGUAGGGAUGCCAUUAUGCAGAUUAAUCUAUAAUAACAAGGAACCAAUAUAAGCGGACAAAUCUGAUAUGCACAACUAGAUUAGACCUUUUAUCUA